AACAAACGCUGGCGGCGUGCCUAAUACAUGCAAGUCGAACGGGUAGCAAUACCAGUGGCGCACGGGUGAGGAAUACAUAGAUAAUCUGCCUUCGAGUCGGGGAUAACCAGUCGAAAGAUUGGCUAAUACCGGAUAAGACCACAGGAGCUGAGGCUCUAGGGGUUAAAGGUUUUUCGCUUGAAGAUGAGUCUAUGCGAGAUUAGCUAGUUGGUGAGGUAAUGGCUCACCAAGGCGACGAUCUCUAACUGGUCUUAGAGGAUGAUCAGUCACACUGGAACUGAGCCACGGUCCAGACUCCUACGGGAGGCAGCAGUAGGGAAUAUUGCGCAAUGGGGGAAACCCUGACGCAGCGACGCCGCGUGAGUGAUGAAGGCCUUCGGGUCGUAAAGCUCUGUCGUAUGGGAAUAACACAAUGAAUGUACCAUGCAAGGAAGGAUCGGCUAACUUCGUGCCAGCAGCCGCCGUAA
rnacentral:rRNA from 1 species